rnacentral:rRNA from 1 species
UUGGAGGGCAAGUCUGGUGCCAGCAGCCGCGGUAAUUCCAGCUCCAAUAGCGUAUAUUAAAGUUGUUGCAGUUAAAAAGCUCGUAGUUGAAUUUCGGGAUUAGUACGUCGGUCGUGCCUUAGGUACGUACUGGUGUUACUGGUUCCUACCUUCUGACGAACCAUCAUGUCAUUAAUUUGGUGUGGUGGGGAAUCAGGACUGUUACUUUGAAAAAAUUAGAGUGUUUAAAGCAGGCUCGCGCUUGAAUACAUUAGCAUGGAAUAAUGAAAUAGGACGUUGAUCCUAUUUUGUUGGUUUCUAGGAUUGACGUAAUGAUUAAUAGGGAUAGUUGGGGGCAUUAGUAUUCAAUUGUCAGAGGUGAAAUUCUUGGAUUUAUUGAAGACUAGCUACUGCGAAAGCAUUUGCCAAGGAUGUUUUCAUUAAUCAAGAACGAAAGUUAGGGGAUCGAAGACGAUCAGAUACCGUCGUAGUCUUAACCAUAAACUAUGCCGACUAGGGAUCGGAUGAUGUUAUUAUUAAUGACUCAUUCGGCGCCUUACGGGAAAC